UACAGGGGGACGGGUGGCCAGUGUCCAUCAGCGGUCAGACAAAGGAUGGCGCCUACCAGAUAAAGGCCGAACAGUGUCUCAGUGAGGAAAACUGUUUCAAAGUGGUCAUUUUCAAGAAAGAGUGUAAGUUGACCUAUGAACUCCUACACACUGACCACAAGCAGUCUGAUGAUCCAAUAGAAGUGGAGCGUUGAUCUGAAUAUGUGGAGAAGUACGUCUCCAUGAAUGACACAGUGUCAGAAGACCUGAUGGAACACCUUAACCACAAACCCAUAUUCUUACCCUGAAAUGUGAGACAAUGGUGACUUCACUAGAAGAAUCAGAAAUCUCGGUCUGACACUGAGACGGAGGAAAUCCCCGGGUCCC